UACGUAGGGUGCGAGCGUUGUCCGGAAUUACUGGGCGUAAAGGGCACGUAGGCGGCUCGGCAAAUCGGUCGUGGAAUCUCGACGCUUACCGUCGAAACGGCGGCCGAAAAUACCGGGCUCGAGGGCGUGAGGGGUCACUGGAACUCCUGGUGAAGCGGUGAAAUGCGUAGAUAUCAGGAGGAACGCCGGAGGCGAAAGCGAGUGACUGGCGCGUUCCUGACGCUGAGGUGCGAAAGCUAGGGGAGCAAACAGG
rnacentral:rRNA from 1 species